GGCAGAACCUCCUUACGUUAGUUGCACUAUGACCUGAAGUACGGUAGGGCAGGAACACAAAAUAAAGAAAUAACACCCUAUAUUAAAUGGUAACAAACAAGGUAGCUGUACAACAGGUUAAAAGCAACAUGGAAAUCGUGGAAAUUAGUCAAUCUCAACUCAUAUCUCACAAAGAUUCUAAACAGAAGAGUUUUUUUGUUAGAAGGAUCUGCUCCCGGAGAUAGGUAGCGUUGACCCUCGUGCGGGAAUUCCAAGCCCAUGGUUGAUAGUCGAGAGCAAUCGCAGCAUUUGGUCCAUACGCACAGCAAACGAUUCAAUAACUUCCACAAAUUUAAACAAAUGAUCAUAAUUUAUAAAUUUAAAUUUGAAUCAAAACUUAAUCGAGCAUU